rnacentral:misc_RNA from 1 species
AGGUGUCCGCUGCGAAAUGGGAUGCUCGGUGCCUAUGCCAUGCUUCCCCCCCCGCCCAUCUAUGAUGGGUGCCAUGGCAUAGGCACACCCCGGUCGUCGGGCUUGGUUGUCGGUUCGGCGGUCUCCGACCGUCGAUCCGACCGUCAAUCCGGCGAUCACGGCCUGGUGGGUUAGUAGUGCUGUGUUGAUCUUUUUCGAGGGGAGAGGGACGGUUCAUCUUGGAUUUUGAUUUUUCCAACGUAUUCGAAGGGAAAGCGUGAGCAUGGCUUCGGUUGUGGGAGCGUGGAAACGGAGAAUACUACGGUCGAGUCAAUAUUUGAGUUUUAACCUCUCGGCGGAGCACAACACUGUCUUUACUUUCUCAUUUGGCCGUCAAAGGGGAUUAUUCAUUAUGCUCGACCGAUCGAAACAUUCCAAAAGAAUGCGGAGAACUAGCAUGCAUCGGCUCGUGCUAGCUUGAUGAUGCAUGGUGUGUUGCGUUAGGUUGGGUAUAAUGGACAAUCGUUGGAUUUUGAAAAUUACGCCCCUGUCCCGUCGGAAAUUUUGUCCCUUGGUCUGGUGGGCUAGUAGUGCUGUGUUGAUCUUUCUCGAGGGGAGAGGGACGGUUCAUCUUAGAUUUUGAUUUUUCCAACGUAUUCGAAGUGAAAGCGUGAACAUGGCUUCGGUCGUGGGAGCGUGGAAACGGAGAAUACUACGGUCGAGUCAAUAUUUGAGUUUUAACCUCUCGGGGGAGCACAACACUGUUUCUACUUUCUCGUUUGGCUGCUAUACAGAUUAUUCAUUAUGCUCCAUAUCAAAACAUCCCAAAAAAAAUGCGGAAGAACUAGCAUGCUUCGGCUUGUGCUAACUUGAUGCAUCAUAAGGUUUGUUGCGGUGGGUUGGGCAUAGUGGAGAAUCUUUGGUUUUCAAAAAUUUUGUCCCUCGGAUUGUGUGUUUCUUCACGUGAAGCGGUGCUGGUGUGGUCUUGCUCGAUGUUUCCGCAUGCUCAGUGGUUCUAGUAAUCAUUGGGUUGUGGUUCGUUUGGUUUGGUCAUCAUCAAGUGUACGCAACUCAUGUGUGAGUGGUGGUCGGAUGGCAUGGGUCUGCAAGCUCCUUGCUCAGCGCAACGAAUUGUAAGCUCUCCAUCCUUUUCAUAGUCUUCCCCAAGCAUGGUCAUUUAUUUGCCUUGCGGGUAAGAUUGGUAUCCUGUGUUUUUUACCAAUUGAAUGGAAUUCGAUUGUUUUCAUUUCUCUAUUCGCCGGUUCCCUUAGGGGUGUUGGGUGGACGAUAGGCUGACCUCGUGUUCCAGGUACAUCUCGCAUUUUUGUGUGGUUACCAUGGCCCACCGGGUUAUGCUUGUUCUCUUGGAUGCGGAUCGUUAGUUGUGGGCGAGGGGUUACGACCUCCAUUCGUCCAAGCUAUAUUAUGCAUUUGUCAAUUGACACGAACGACUGCUGCACUCGUCUUGGCUUUCUAUAGUUGAAUGGCUGUACAAUGUCCAUGCGAGUGUCGGUGUCGUGAAGGAAUGC